GCGAGGGUAUCCGAGCCAGGUCAAAGGAGCAAGGUUGAGGGCCUUGUCGCGAAGGCGUUCGAGCGUUCAAAUCGCUUCCCUCGCA
rnacentral:tRNA from 6 species